UGGCGGCGUGCCUAAUACAUGCAAGUCGAACGAACUCUGGUAUUGAUUGGUGCUUGCAUCAUGAUUUACAUUUGAGUGAGUGGCGAACUGGUGAGUAACACGUGGGAAACCUGCCCAGAAGCGGGGGAUAACACCUGGAAACAGAUGCUAAUACCGCAUAACAACUUGGACCGCAUGGUCCGAGUUUGAAAGAUGGCUUCGGCUAUCACUUUUGGAUGGUCCCGCGGCGUAUUAGCUAGAUGGUGGGGUAACGGCUCACCAUGGCAAUGAUACGUAGCCGACCUGAGAGGGUAAUCGGCCACAUUGGGACUGAGACACGGCCCAAACUCCUACGGGAGGCAGCAGUAGGGAAUCUUCCACAAUGGACGAAAGUCUGAUGGAGCAACGCCGCGUGAGUGAAGAAGGGUUUCGGCUCGUAAAACUCUGUUGUUAAAGAAGAACAUAUCUGAGAGUAACUGUUCAGGUAUUGACGGUAUUUAACCAGAAAGCCACGGCUAACUACGUGCCAGCAGCCGCGGUAAUACGUAGGUGGCAAGCGUUGUCCGGAUUUAUUGGGCGUAAAGCGAGCGCAGGCGGUUUUUUAAGUCUGAUGUGAAAGCCUUCGGCUCAACCGAAGAAGUGCAUCGGAAACUGGGAAACUUGAGUGCAGAAGAGGACAGUGGAACUCCAUGUGUAGCGGUGAAAUGCGUAGAUAUAUGGAAGAACACCAGUGGCGAAGGCGGCUGUCUGGUCUGUAACUGACGCUGAGGCUCGAAAGUAUGGGUAGCAAACAGGAUUAGAUACCCUGGUAGUCCAUACCGUAAACGAUGAAUGCUAAGUGUUGGAGGGUUUCCGCCCUUCAGUGCUGCAGCUAACGCAUUAAGCAUUCCGCCUGGGGAGUACGGCCGCAAGGCUGAAACUCAAAGGAAUUGACGGGGGCCCGCACAAGCGGUGGAGCAUGUGGUUUAAUUCGAAGCUACGCGAAGAACCUUACCAGGUCUUGACAUACUAUGCAAAUCUAAGAGAUUAGACGUUCCCUUCGGGGACAUGGAUACAGGUGGUGCAUGGUUGUCGUCAGCUCGUGUCGUGAGAUGUUGGGUUAAGUCCCGCAACGAGCGCAACCCUUAUUAUCAGUUGCCAGCAUUAAGUUGGGCACUCUGGUGAGACUGCCGGUGACAAACCGGAGGAAGGUGGGGAUGACGUCAAAUCAUCAUGCCCCUUAUGACCUGGGCUACACACGUGCUACAAUGGAUGGUACAACGAGUUGCGAACUCGCGAGAGUAAGCUAAUCUCUUAAAGCCAUUCUCAGUUCGGAUUGUAGGCUGCAACUCGCCUACAUGAAGUCGGAAUCGCUAGUAAUCGCGGAUCA
rnacentral:rRNA from 2 species